UGUAAAUGUUCUAUAUCUGUUCUAUACAUUACCAGACACAUGUAACUGGUAGCUUAAAAUGUGGCAAGUGUGACUAUGGAUACAAUUGGAAACACUGGUUAUAUUACCAAGGCUUUGACUGAAAUAUCAUAUUUGAAAACCUGCACAGAAUGCCUGGCCUCAAGGGUUCCCAGCCUUACAACUGCUGAACUAGACGUUGUGCAUUUAGCCUGGCUCACUGAUGCCUUGGGGAUAUUAACGUGAGUCUGCUGAGCUUAUUUCCAUGUGGACAUCAAAAAUAAAUGAACAUCUUGGCCACUAGGGUUUAUUCUGUAAAGGAGAUUUGUACCUGAGCAAUGAAAUGUACUUGGAAUAAAAACCAUGGAAGUCAUAUAUUUUUUUUUUGUAUCAUGUCUUCCUUCUUUCUUUGACAAUAUUGUAUCAUGUCUUCCUUUCUUCUUUCUUUGACAAUAAACUGCUGUAAAUACAACCUAUCUUUUGGUGAUUUAAAAAAUCUUAAACCAAUUAUACCAACUAAACCAUUUUAAUUUUUGAUAAUGGUCUAAAAUUUGCACCAAUACUCAUCCACAAUAAAGAAUAAAUGCUUAAACCAAACCCUUUUUUGGUUUAAAUCCACAUUUAAAAUAAGUCUAACUAUAGUACAUGUCUACGUCUUUGACUUUAUUUACAUGCCUUUUCCUCUCCUUUUAUAGCUUAUAAGAUAGAUCAUGAGUCAGCAAACUUUUUCUGUAGAGGUCAAAUAGCAAAUAUUUUAGGCUAGGAGAGCCACUGGGGGUCUUUGUUACAGUUACUCUCUAGCUGGAGCAUAAAAGCAGCCACAGGUAAUACAGUAAGGAAUGGGUGUGACUGGAUUUAGGGGGCAUCCUACUGGAUUUGGCCCAUGGUAGUAGUAAGCUAACCCUCCGAGCUUAAAUCAUGGGGAAAACAUAAAAAAUAGUGUCACUACAAUCACCCA